UACGUAGGGGGCAAGCGUUGUCCGGAAUCAUUGGGCGUAAAGCGCGUGUAGGCGGCUCGGUAAGUCUGCUCUGAAAGCCCGGGGCUCAACCCUGGGAGGCGGGUGGAUACUGCUGAGCUCGAGUCCGGAAGAGGCGAGUGGAAUUCCUGGUGUAGCGGUGAAAUGCGCAGAUAUCAGGAGGAACACCCGUGGCGAAAGCGGCUCUCUGGGACGGUACUGACGCUGAGACGCGAAAGCGUGGGGAGCAAACAGG
rnacentral:rRNA from 1 species